rnacentral:rRNA from 1 species
AUCUACGGCCAUGCCACCCUGAACAAGCCUGAUCCCUUCUGAUCUCGGACGCUAAGCCUGGUCGGUCCUGGUUAGUACUUGGAUGGGAGACCAUUUAGGGAAGACCGGUGCUGUAGGCU